AGCAGCCUAGCUCCGGCGCGCGGCGGGCGUCCUUCCGGUCACGUCAUCCUUCACGGAGGCACUCCGUCGUCUGGCGUCGUCACGAGGGGGCUGACUUUGACGUCAUAGUUGGAGAGAAAGGCCGAGGUCAGGCCCGCAGAGCCCUUCCCGCCGCGCCUUGAAUUGGGACGUGGCUGUGCUCGCUUCAGCAGCACCUGUACCAGAAAAAGGAAGUCGAAACAUUUCUUCUCUCAAGGUCAGGAAUAAACUUCCCAUCUUUGCUUCUUUACCCCUUUCCUCUUCACUUCUUAUAGGGCCUCAUUUAUUUCUUUUCCACCUUAAGCUUUGAGUGGUUCCCCCUUCUCUGAUUUCUUCUUUUCAACCUUGCAGUGUUUUGUUUUGUCUUUAUUUUGCUUUUUCUUCCUAAAACAACUCUCUUGUCCUUCCCCUGGCUGCAGUUCAAUU
rnacentral:lncRNA from 12 species